rnacentral:rRNA from 1 species
CAGUCGCCGCGGUAAUACUGAGGGUGCAAGCGUUAAUCGGAAUUACUGGGCGUAAAGCGCACGCAGGCGGUCUGACAAGUCAGAUGUGAAAUCCCCGGGCUUAACCUGGGAACUGCAUUUGAAACUGUCAGGCUGGAGUCUUGUAGAGGGGGGUGGAAUUCCAGGUGUAGCGGUGAAAUGCGUAGAGAUCUGGAGGAAUACCGGUGGCGAAGGCGGCCCCCUGGACAAAGACUGACGCUUAGGUGCGAAAGCGUGGGGAGCAAACAGGAUUAGAUACCCGAGUAGUCCCUGUCUCUUAUAC